rnacentral:rRNA from 1 species
AUGACAUUUUUAUCUGAAGAGGAGGCCUACUCAUUUUAUAACAAAUAUGCAAAAGUUACUGGUUUUAGCAUCCGAAGAGGGAGUCACCAUAAAGUGAAGAAUACUGCAGUAAUACAACAACGGGCAUUUACGUGCUCCCGUCAAGGAUUCCAUGCUGAAGAUAGCAGAGAGGAUUCUUUCAGUUACAGUAGGCCCCAAACACGAUGUGGUUGUCAAGCCCAUAUGAAGAUAAGUCUCAAAAAUGGAUUAUAUUAUGUGUACGAAUUUGAGGCACCACAUAACCAUCCUCUUGCUACCGGAGACAUGGCCCUAUACUUAAGAUCCCAAAGAAAAGUCACAGAAGCACAAAUAGCAAACGCUGAAGUCGCAAAGUCUGUGGACAUUUCAAAUAAAGCAACUAUAGAUCUUAUGGCCAAAGAAGCAUGUGGACUUCCAAAUCUUGGGUUUGCACCCGAAGAUAUGAAAAAUCGUUUGUACUCUAAGAGAACACUGCAAGCAAAGAAAGGAGACACAGGGGGAGUGUUAGAAUACAUGGAGAAGAAGGUAAAAGAAGAUGCCAAUUUUUUCUAUUCAGUUCAAGUUGAUGAGGAUGAUCUGAUAACUAAUAUUUUCUGGGCUGAUUCCAAAAUGAUAUCAGACUAUGCAAUGUUUGGUGAUGUUAUACGCUUUGACACCACAUAUAGGAAAAGGAAACUAGAUGAUGGGGCGUCCCUUUGGUUUGAUUGUUGGGGUGAAUAA